rnacentral:rRNA from 1 species
GAUGAACGCUGGCGGCGUGCCUAAUACAUGCAAGUCGAGCGAACGGACGAGAAGCUUGCUUCUCUGACGUUAGCGGCGGACGGGUGAGUAACACGUGGAUAACCUACCUAUAAGACUGGGAUAACUUCGGGAAACCGUAGCUAAUACCGGAUAAUAUUUUGAACCGCAUGGUUCAAAAGUGAAAGACGGUCUUGCUGUCACUUAUAGAUGGAUCCGCGCUGCAUUAGCUAGUUGGUAAGGUAACGGCUUACCAAGGCAACGAUGCGUAGCCGACCUGAGAGGGUGAUCGGCCACACUGGAACUGAGACACGGUCCAGACUCCUACGGGAGGCAGCAGUAGGGAAUCUUCCGCAAUGGGCGAAAGCCUGACGGAGCAACGCCGCGUGAGUGAUGAAGGUCUUCGGAUCGUAAAACUCUGUUAUUAGGGAAGAACAUAUGUGUAAGUAACUGUGCACAUCUUGACGGUACCUAAUCAGAAAGCCACGGCUAACUACGUG